rnacentral:siRNA from 1 species
GUACUGGAAUAGCGCGGAAACAAG